AGAUUGAACGCUGGCGGCGUGCCUAACACAUGCAAGUCGAGCGGUAACAGGUGUAGCAAUACAUGCUGACGAGCGGCGAACGGGUGAGUAAUGCUUUGGAAUCUUCCCAGUAGUGGGGAAUAACCAGUCGAAAGAUUGGCUAAUACCGCAUACGUCUGUAAAGGGAAAGCGGGGGCUCGUAAGACCUCGCGCUAUUGGAUGAGCCAAAGUCGGAUUAGCUAGUUGGUGGGGUAAUGGCCUACCAAGGCGACGACGGGUA
rnacentral:rRNA from 1 species